rnacentral:rRNA from 1 species
AUUGAACGCUGGCGGCAGGCCUAACACAUGCAAGUCGAGCGAGCGGCGGACGGGUGAGUAAUGUAUGGGGACUGCCCGAUAGAGGGGGAUAACUACUGGAAACGGUGGCUAAUACCGCAUACUAUCGGAUAACCCAUAUGGGAUUAGCUAGUAGGUGGGGUCAAGGCUCACCGAGGCGACGAUCCCUAGCUGGUCUGAGAGGAUGAUCAGCCACACUGGAGUGGAGACACGGCCCAGCCUCCUACGGAGUCAGCAUUGGUGAAAAUUGCACAAUGGGCGCAAGACUGAUGCAGCCAUGCCGCGUGUAUGAAGAAGGCCUUAGGGUGGUAAAGUACUUUCAGCGGGGAGGCGUUACCCGCAGAAGAAGCACCGGCUAACUCCGUGCCAGCAGCCGCGGUAAUAC